rnacentral:rRNA from 1 species
AUACAGGGGGAUAGCAGUUGGAAACGACUGGUAAAACCGCAUAAGCGCACGGUGUUGCAUGACACAGUGUGAAAACACUCCGGUGGUAUGAGAUGGACCCGCGUCUGAUUAGCUAGUUGGUGAGGUAACGGCCCACCAAGGCGACGAUCAGUAGCCGGCCUGAGAGGGUGAACGGCCACAUUGGGACUGAGACACGGCCCAAACUCCUACGGGAGGCAGCAGUGGGGAAUAUUGCACAAUGGGGGAAACCCUGAUGCAGCGACGCCGCGUGAGUGAUGAAGUAUUUCGGUAUGUAAAGCUCUAUCAGCAGGGAAGAUAAUGACGGUACCUGACUAAGAAGCACCGGCUAAAUACGUGCCAGCAGCCGCGGUAAUACGUAUGGUGCAAGCGUUAUCCGGAUUUACUGGGUGUAAAGGGUGCGUAGGUGGCAAGGCAAGUCUGAAGUGAAAAUCCGGGGCUCAACCCCGGAACUGCUUUGGAAACUGUUUAGCUGGAGUACAGGAGAGGUAAGUGGAAUUCCUAGUGUAGCGGUGAAAUGCGUAGAUAUUAGGAGGAACACCAGUGGCGAAGGCGACUUACUGGACUGCUACUGACACUGAGGCACGAAAGCGUGGGG